AUCCUCCAAGGCUAAAUACUCCUGACUGACCGAUAGUGAACCAGUACCGUGAGGGAAAGGCGAAAAGAACCCCGGCGAGGGGAGUGAAAAAGAACCUGAAACCGUGUACGUACAAGCAGUGGGAGCACCUUCGGGUGUGACUGCGUACCUUUUGUAUAAUGGGUCAGCGACUUAUAUUCUGUAGCAAGGUUAACCGUAUAGGGGAGCCGCAGGGAAACCGAGUCUUAACUGGGCGUUAAGUUGCAGGGUAUAGACCCGAAACCCGGUGAUCUAGCCAUGGGCAGGUUGAAGGUUGGGUAACACUAACUGGAGGACCGAACCGACUAAUGUUGAAAAAUUAGCGGAUGACUUGUGGCUGGGGGUGAAAGGCCAAUCAAACCGGGAGAUAGCUGGUUCUCCCCGAAAGCUAUUUAGGUAGCGCCUCGUGAACUCAUCUUCGGGGGUAGAGCACUGUUUCGGCUAGGGGGUCAUCCCGACUUACCAACCCGAUGCAAACUACGAAUACCGAAGAAUGUUAUCACGGGAGACACACGGCGGGUGCUAACG
rnacentral:rRNA from 1 species